rnacentral:SRP_RNA from 10 species
GCCAGAUGUGGUGGCAUGCACCUGUAGUCCCAGCUACUUGGGAAGCUGAGGUGGGAGGAUGGCUUGAGCCCAGGAGUUGUGCUACAGCAAUCGGAUGUUCGCACUAAGUUCAGCAUCAAUAUGGUGACCUCCUGAGAGCAAGAGACCCAACAGGUUGCCCAAGGAGGGGUGAACCAGCUCAGAGCAAAAAUGGAGCAGGCCAAAACUCCAGUGCUGAUCGGUAGUGGGAUCACACCUGUGAACAGCCAUUGCAUUCCAACCUGGAAAACAUGGUAUCUUAUUA